AGUGCAUGUGGUGGAUGCCUUGGCAGUCAGAGGCGAUGAAAGACGUGAUAGCCUGCGAAAAGCUCCGGGGAGGCGGCAAAUAUCCUUUGAUCCGGAGAUGUCUGAAUGGGGGAACCCACCUACUUUAAGGUAGGUAUUGCAACAUGAAUACAUAGUGUUGCAAGGCGAACGAGGGGAAGUGAAACAUCUCAGUACCCUUAGGAAAAGAAAUCAAUUGAGAUUCCCUCAGUAGCGGCGAGCGAACGGGGAUCAGCCCAUUAAGUUAUGUGUGUUUUAGUGGAACGCUCUGGGAAGUGCGAACGUAGAGGGUGAUAUUCCCGUACACGAAAGGGCACACAUAAUGAUGACGAGUAGGGCGAGGCACGUGAAACCUUGUCUGAAUAUGGGGGGACCAUCCUCCAAGGCUAAAUACUCCUGACUGACCGAUAGUGAACCAGUACCGUGAGGGAAAGGCGAAAAGAACCCCUGUGAGGGGAGUGAAAUAGAUCCUGAAACCGCAUGCAUACAAGCAGUGGGAGCACCUUCGUGGUGUGACUGCGUACCUUUUGUAUAAUGGGUCAGCGACUUAUAUUCAGUAGCGAGGUUAACCGUAUAGGGGAGCCGUAGAGAAAUCGAGUCUUAAUAGGGCGUUUAGUUGCUGGGUAUAGACCCGAAACCAGGCGAUCUAUCCAUGAGCAGGUUGAAGGUUGGGUAACACUAACUGGAGGACCGAACCCACUGUCGUUGAAAAGCCAGGGGAUGACUUGUGGAUAGGGGUGAAAGGCUAAUCAAGCCUGGUGAUAGCUGGUUCUCCCCGAAAGCUAUUUAGGUAGCGCCUCGGACGAAUACCAUUGGGGGUAGAGCACUGUUUCGGCUAGGGGGUCAUCCCGACUUACCAAACCGAUGCAAACUCCGAAUACCUAUGAGUACUAUCCGGGAGACAGACUGCGGGUGCUAACGUCCGUAGUCAAGAGGAAAACAAUCCAGACCGCCAGCUAAGGCCCCAAAAUCAUAGUUAAGUGGGAAACGAUGUGGGAAGGCAUAGACAGCUAGGAGGUUGGCUUAGAAGCAGCCACCCUUUAAAGAAAGCGUAAUAGCUCACUAGUCGAGUCGGCCUGCGCGGAAGAUGUAACGGGGCUAAAACUAUGUGCCGAAGCUGCGGAUGUAUACUUUGUAUACGUGGUAGGGGAGCGUUCUGUAAGCCGAUGAAGGUGUGUUGAGAAGCAUGCUGGAGGUAUCAGAAGUGCGAAUGCUGACGUGAGUAACGACAAAACGGGUGAAAAACCCGUUCGCUGAAAGACCAAGGGUUCCAGUCCAACGUUAAUCGGGGCUGGGUGAGUCGACCCCUAAGGCGAGGCCGAAAGGCGUAGUCGAUGGGAAAAUGGUUAAUAUUCCAUUACUUCUGUGUAAUGCGAUGAGAGGACGGAGAAGGCUAAAUCAGCCUGGCGUUGGUUGUCCAGGUGAAAGGAUGUAGGCAUGUAUCUUAGGCAAAUCCGGGGUACUCUAUGCUGAGAUCUGAUAGCAAGCUGUACUUGUACAGCGAAGUGGUUGAUGCCAUGCUUCCAGGAAAAGUCUCUAAGCUUCAGUUACACAGGAAUCGUACCCGAAACCGACACAGGUGGUCAGGUCGAGUAGACCAAGGCGCUUGAGAGAACUCUGCUGAAGGAACUAGGCAAAAUGGUACCGUAACUUCGGGAGAAGGUACGCUGUUGUUGGUGAUGGAACUCGCUUCCUGAGCUGACGACAGCCGCAGAAACCAGGCCGCUGCAACUGUUUAUUAAAAACAUAGCACUCUGCAAACACGAAAGUGGACGUAUAGGGUGUGAUGCCUGCCCGGUGCUGGAAGGUUAAUUGAUGGGGUUAGCGUAAGCGAAGCUCUUGAUCGAAGCCCCAGUAAACGGCGGCCGUAACUAUAACGGUCCUAAGGUAGCGAAAUUCCUUGUCGGGUAAGUUCCGACCUGCACGAAUGGCAUAAUGAUGGCGGCGCUGUCUCCAGCAGAGGCUCAGUGAAAUCGAAUUCG
rnacentral:rRNA from 1 species